GGGUUGUGAGGUUAAGCGACUAAGCGUACACGGUGGAUGCCCUGGCAGUCAGAGGCGAUGAAGGGCGUGCUAAUCUGCGAUAAGCGCCGGUAAGGUGAUAUGAACCGUUAUAACCGGCGAUACCCGAAUGGGGAAACCCAGUGUGACUCGUCACACUAUCAUUAACUGAAUCCAUAGGUUAAUGAGGCGAACCGGGGGAACUGAAACAUCUAAGUACCCCGAGGAAAAGAAAUCAACCGAGAUUCCCCCAGUAGCGGCGAGCGAACGGGGAGGAGCCCAGAGCCUGAAUCAGCAUGUGUGUUAGUGGAAGCGUCUGGAAAGGCGCGCGAUACAGGGUGACAGCCCCGUACACAAAAGCGCAUGUGCUGUGAGCUCGAUGAGUAGGGCGGGACACGUGGUAUCCUGUCUGAAUAUGGGGGGACCAUCCUCCAAGGCUAAAUACUCCUGACUGACCGAUAGUGAACCAGUACCGUGAGGGAAAGGCGAAAAGAACCCCGGCGAGGGGAGUGAAAAAGAACCUGAAACCGUGUACGUACAAGCAGUGGGAGCACAGGUUUACCUGUGUGACUGCGUACCUUUUGUAUAAUGGGUCAGCGACUUAUAUUCUGUAGCAAGGUUAACCGAAUAGGGGAGCCGGAGGGAAACCGAGUCUUAAUUGGGCGUUAAGUUGCAGGGUAUAGACCCGAAACCCGGUGAUCUAGCCAUGGGCAGGUUGAAGGUUGGGUAACACUAACUGGAGGACCGAACCGACUAAUGUUGAAAAAUUAGCGGAUGACCUGUGGCUGGGGGUGAAAGGCCAAUCAAACCGGGAGAUAGCUGGUUCUCCCCGAAAGCUAUUUAGGUAGCGCCUCGUGAAUUCAUCUCCGGGGGUAGAGCACUGUUUCGGCUAGGGGGCCAUCCCGGCUUACCAACCCGAUGCAAACUGCGAAUACCGGAGAAUGUUAUCACGGGAGACACACGGCGGGUGCUAACGUCCGUCGUGAAGAGGGAAACAACCCAGACCGCCAGCUAAGGUCCCAAAGUCAUGGUUAAGUGGGAAACGAUGUGGGAAGGCCCAGACAGCCAGGAUGUUGGCUUAGAAGCAGCCAUCAUUUAAAGAAAGCGUAAUAGCUCACUGGUCGAGUCGGCCUGCGCGGAAGAUGUAACGGGGCUAAACCAUGCACCGAAGCUGCGGCAGCGAACGUAUCACUUAAAGCGAUUCAGCGGGUUACGAUUGACGGAGCGAAGCGACGUCAAAGCGUAUACAAAGUCGAGUCGGUUUAAGGAUACGUUCGUUGGGUAGGGGAGCGUUCUGUAAGCCUGUGAAGGUGGCCUGUGAGGGUUGCUGGAGGUAUCAGAAGUGCGAAUGCUGACAUAAGUAACGAUAAAGCGGGUGAAAAGCCCGCUCGCCGGAAGACCAAGGGUUCCUGUCCAACGUUAAUCGGGGCAGGGUGAGUCGACCCCUAAGGCGAGGCCGAAAGGCGUAGUCGAUGGGAAACGGGUUAAUAUUCCCGUACUUGGUGUUACUGCGAAGGGGGGACGGAGAAGGCUAUGUUGGCCGGGCGACGGUUGUCCCGGUUUAAGCGUGUAGGUGUGUGUUCCAGGUAAAUCCGGUUCACUUUAACACUGAGGCGUGAUGACGAGGCACUACGGUGCUGAAGCAACAAAUGCCCUGCUUCCAGGAAAAGCCUCUAAGCAUCAGGUAACAUCAAAUCGUACCCCAAACCGACACAGGUGGUCAGGUAGAGAAUACCAAGGCGCUUGAGAGAACUCGGGUGAAGGAACUAGGCAAAAUGGUGCCGUAACUUCGGGAGAAGGCACGCUGACACGUAGGUGAAGUGAUUUACUCACGGAGCUGAAGUCAGUCGAAGAUACCAGCUGGCUGCAACUGUUUAUUAAAAACACAGCACUGUGCAAACACGAAAGUGGACGUAUACGGUGUGACGCCUGCCCGGUGCCGGAAGGUUAAUUGAUGGGGUCAGCGCAAGCGAAGCUCCUGAUCGAAGCCCCGGUAAACGGCGGCCGUAACUAUAACGGUCCUAAGGUAGCGAAAUUCCUUGUCGGGUAAGUUCCGACCUGCACGAAUGGCGUAAUGAUGGCCAGGCUGUCUCCACCCGAGACUCAGUGAAAUUGAAUUCGCUGUGAAGAUGCAGUGUACCCGCGGCAAGACGGAAAGACCCCGUGAACCUUUACUAUAGCUUGACACUGAACAUUGAGCCUUGAUGUGUAGGAUAGGUGGGAGGCUUUGAAGUGUGGACGCCAGUCUGCAUGGAGCCGACCUUGAAAUACCACCCUUUAAUGUUUGAUGUUCUAACGUGGACCCGUGAUCCGGGUUGCGGACAGUGUCUGGUGGGUAGUUUGACUGGGGCGGUCUCCUCCUAAAGAGUAACGGAGGAGCACGAAGGUUGGCUAAUCCUGGUCGGACAUCAGGAGGUUAGUGCAAUGGCAUAAGCCAGCUUGACUGCGAGCGUGACGGCGCGAGCAGGUGCGAAAGCAGGUCAUAGUGAUCCGGUGGUUCUGAAUGGAAGGGCCAUCGCUCAACGGAUAAAAGGUACUCCGGGGAUAACAGGCUGAUACCGCCCAAGAGUUCAUAUCGACGGCGGUGUUUGGCACCUCGAUGUCGGCUCAUCACAUCCUGGGGCUGAAGUAGGUCCCAAGGGUAUGGCUGUUCGCCAUUUAAAGUGGUACGCGAGCUGGGUUUAGAACGUCGUGAGACAGUUCGGUCCCUAUCUGCCGUGGGCGCUGGAGAACUGAGGGGGGCUGCUCCUAGUACGAGAGGACCGGAGUGGACGCAUCACUGGUGUUCGGGUUGUCAUGCCAAUGGCACUGCCCGGUAGCUAAAUGCGGAAGAGAUAAGUGCUGAAAGCAUCUAAGCACGAAACUUGCCCCGAGAUGAGUUCUCCCUGAGACUUUAGGUCUCCUGAAGGAACGUUGAAGACGACGACGUUGAUAGGCCGGGUGUGUAAGCGCAGCGAUGCGUUGAGCUAACCGGUACUAAUGAACCGUGAGGCUUAACCUUACAACGCCGAAG
rnacentral:rRNA from 1 species